UAUUGCAUUUGUCCUUAAACUAAUUAUUUUUGUUCUUACCACGAAAUUAAUUUCAUAGAAUCUCUGAUUUCAAGAUUAGGUAAGAACAUUUUAGACAUUUGCAAUUAAAUCGGAUUUUUUAUGAAAAGUAUUUAUUUAUUUUACACUUAGUAAUAUAUCUUGAAUAUCAACAUCAUAUUUGACAAGUGCAUUUGGUAUAAAUAUAUAUCUCCAUUUCAUUUAUAAUCAUUGUAUAAUUCCAAAAUAAAUAUUUUAAACUGAUUAUACUAAUUGAAGAAACUUAUUUGAUACCAAAAAUUUAUUUAUUCAAAUUUAUUUAUUUUUAAGUACUAGGUACCCGGACAUUUGUUAUAUAGAGUCAGAUAACAGACUGUAAUAAUAAAUCAUGCAUUUAAAAUACAUAGAUACACAAAACAUUUUGAAAAUCAUUCAAAAACAAUGUAUUAAGAUUAUAAGGAAGUCAUAUUUUAUUAUUUUUGUUAAUGUAUCUUGUAAAUUUAAUUUGAAUCGGAAAAUAACUGAAGUAGUUAUAUCUAAUCUUUUCUUAGAUAAUUUUUAUUAACUUUGUGCUUACUCAUACAUUACUACAAUCUCAGUAUAGAAUGAAACAUGGCGGCGUUACCUGUGAGGUUUCUUUCAGUUGCACAUGCAUUUACCAAGAAAACAUCAUUCAAUUUUUAUAAGCAUAAUAUACAAAUAGCGUGUACAACAACGGCACGAGCAUUUUCAAUGAAAACAAAUUCAAAUUUUGAGGAAAAGAAGAUCAAUGUCAAUGGCUUCGAUAUUAACUAUGUCAAAGUUGGUGUUGGUGACCAUACAGUCCUUUUAUUACCUGGUGCCUUAGGAACUGCCUGGACUGACUUUAAACCUCAACUGGAAAAUCUUGAUAAAAAUAAAUUAACCAUAGUAGCAUGGGAUCCACCUGGAUAUGGAAAAUCGAGACCACCUGACAGAAUAUUUUCUGAUGACUUUUUUCAACGCGAUGCCGAUUAUGCUUUUAAUUUAAUGAAAACUUUAGGAUAUAAAAAAUUUUCUUUAAUUGGUUGGAGUGAUGGUGGUAUCACAUCUCUCAUACUUGCUGCUAAAAAUCCUGAUAACAUUCGUAAGAUGGUCGUAUUUGGUGCGAAUUCUUACAUCAUUCCCGAAGAACUCAAAAUUUACGAAAGUAUUAGAAACAUCGACACGUGGUCGGAAAAAAUGAAACAACCAAUGAUUGAAGUUUAUGGAGAAGAGUAUUUUAGAAAUACUUGGUCCAGUUGGGUAGAUACUAUGAAAAAAAUUUACGAAAAAAACAAGGGUGAUAUAUGUAAAAACGAUUUGCCUAAAAUAAAGUGCCCUACUUUAAUUAUACAUGGGGCUAAAGAUGUUAUUGUAAAGCCAGAACAUCCAGAUUAUUUAAAAGAUCAUAUACUAAAUUCCAAAGUUACAAUAUUUGAAAAAGGAGCUCAUAAUUUACAUUUAAGAUAUCAAGACGAAUUUAAUGCCUUGACAACGAAGUUCCUAACUGAAGAUUAAAAAUAUCUUUUAUAUUGUCAUUUUUUUAAUAAGGACAAGUUUUACUAUAUUUAUUACUUUCUAUUUCUAUUACAAGAUUAACAAGAUUAUUAUUACGAUAACAAGCUGUUGUAAGUACGGGAAGUGUCGCUUAUGUAAUGCCAAGGCUAUGGAGUCAUUUGAUGAAGGUGAUUUUUAUGAAGGCGUUUACUUACGAGCUUCAUCGAGCUUUAAUAGAAAAACAUUGAACGAUGUCAUUUGCGAGGUUGCGUUUAAAGAGAGAGAAAGAGAGAAAGAGAGAGAGAGAGAGAGAGAGAGAGAGAGAGAGAGAGAGUGAAAGAG
rnacentral:misc_RNA from 1 species